GGAAUUAAUGGAACAAGGUGCUUCCUACGGAGAAACAAUCCACGAUAUGAUAUGAUUUUAAUUAAUGACCUGGCUACCUACGCAUGCCACUUACCUGCGAAAGGGAAUCCAAAAAUGUAAUAUGCUUUCUGCCCACAAGAGUAGUUAAGCUAGGCACCACCGAUCACCAUACAACAAGUCUUCGUAUAAUUACACGUACCUAUAGGUAUGGUACUUCCCCCUCAUAUGCCGGCAUUGCGGUCCUCUCUCUAUAUAUAUCUUUGACGAUCAAUUGGCAAAAGCAAGUUACAAGAAGGGAGCUAUGUGAUGGUAGUGUUCAUGGCAUGUACCAACUUAUAAUCAGUGACAAUGAUGAGUUUUGAGAAUGACGGGCAUCGGGAUGACGUAGGCUCUGGCCUAGGGACGAGCAGCCCAUGCGACCAAACACUGCUCUCGAUUUGCAAGGGCCCUAGUGUCAAAACACUUCAUUCCAGCUAGGCUUAGUUUUGCCAAGCCAGGGGCGGAACCAUAGAGGCCCAACCUGGGUCACUGGACACUGCCUAGUAGCCAUCGUUUGACUGUGAGCGUGUAGCAUCUACAUGUCCAUGCGACUAGUAAUGCGGGCACACACUCACCUCGAGACACACAAGAUUCGUGUGUAACAUGAGCCUACAGCUUGUUGGCUUCUGGCCUCCUCCCAUGUUGAUUCCUCACAACAACGUCCUCACCAAACCACAUAUCGUUGAAGCAUCACGGCAUGUCGGCAUUGUAAUCUACUCACCUGGAUCGCUAGAGAAAACAUGCGUGAUGAGGCUAGUCACCAAUAUUUCUCAAUUGUGUACUUCUAUUUAUUUUAACUUGCUUCCAAAGGCCCAAAGUGUAUGGCUGGGGUUUCAAAUUGAAGUGUUAAAAAAUAGAGAAGUUGAUUAAUCUGAUUUCCAAAUUUAGGGGUGGUUCAUAUCGGUUUGAGAAAUGUAUUACUGUGGUUUUCCUUUUUUGGUGGCGGUUCACAUCUGUUAAAGAUUGUAUUACAAUCAUCUGAAGGUUUUGGGAAUGAUUAAUGUGAUUUCCCUAUACUUAGUUGGCUUGGCAUGAAAAACAUAACGUUGUUUAGUUGUUGCAUUUGACAAAUAAUACUUGUUUUCGUCCAUGUUGCACCAUGAUUCCAUGUCGAUGUUAUGCUCAGUCCUACAAGUCAAUGGUUCAAUUAAUUCUCACUUAGCCAUAAACGCUGCAAGAUAUAUAAAAUAAAUAUCUCCGCCUUCAGUUUCUUUAGCUUAACUCUUCAUCUCUAGUUAUUGCCUUCAUCUCAAUCCUAACCUCAACGAUACUCGUCAUCGUCAUGGUCUCUAUUUUUAUUUGUCAAUCGGUCAUAGCACUAUUGGCAUUAAAUUUUAUGUCUUUCUUUAGAACAUAAAGGUGUUUUUUAUUAACUCAAAACAUAGCAGGGGAUACAUCGCAUCAUGAGCAGUCAUACGGACUUUGCAUGACUAGGAUGCACACAUCCAACAUUGACACACUCAUACAAUAAACAUAAAUCACCAUCCAAAGUAAAGUCACUUGAGACUGAAACUAGGCUAGGGUGAAGAGAGUGGGGGUGAGGGGGGCAGUCCGUAGACUAUGUCAUCACCCAUGUUGGGUAAGAACAUCCAUGGUCGCUUGAACCAAACAUACACACAACCAUAAACAACGGCUGGCAUUCCACUCGUUGUAGAGAUGAUCACGUACGAACCCAUUGCUUAGACUGGUAGAUAACUUGCGGUGGAUUUUACGAUUAAAACCAUGUCAUUUCUAUAUAGCCCUAGCAACCAUGAUAAAGGAGACCAUCCCACCUUAUAAAUGAACUAAACUUAUCUAGAAUUUCAUCUAGCCAGUGACCAUAUAUGCUGACAACACUACAGGGUGGAUAUAAAUUCGACACAACUUGGAUGACUCACCAUGUAGCAUGUGCAAAAGGGCUAUGAAAUAAAGGAUGACAAAAACAUCAUUUCUUAUUGUCAUACCAACUGUCACGAGCGAGGUUGUCCUUUUUCAGGAUCGCACCUCGAUCAAGAUACCAUAUAAAAAAUAACCUUCAGUGGGAUCUUGGAUUUCAAGGAGUUGAGGGAUCAUUGCUUUCUCAUCCACCCUCCGCAUGCCUCAUGCUACUCCUUCAAUUCAGCUAACAUGGGAGGUAGACGCUUAGCCAACAUAUUUGAUCUCUAACUUGUCACCCUGAUGUUUACACAACAUUAAGCCUNN
rnacentral:lncRNA from 1 species